AGUGAACGCUGGCGGUAGGCCUAACACAUGCAAGUCGAACGGCAGCACAGUAAGAGCUUGCUCUUACGGGUGGCGAGUGGCGGACGGGUGAGGAAUACAUCGGAAUCUACUUUUUCGUGGGGGAUAACGUAGGGAAACUUACGCUAAUACCGCAUACGACCUACGGGUGAAGGCAGGGGAUCUUCGGACCUUGCGCGAUUGAAUGAGCCGAUGUCGGAUUAGCUAGUUGGCGGGGUAAAGGCCCACCAAGGCGACGAUCCGUAGCUGGUCUGAGAGGAUGAUCAGCCACACUGGAACUGAGACACGGUCCAGACUCCUACGGGAGACAGCAGUGGGGAAUAUUGGACAAUGGGCGCAAGCCUGAUCCAGCCAUACCGCGUGGGUGAAGAAGGCCUUCGGGUUGUAAAGCCCUUUUGUUGGGAAAGAAAAGCAGCAGGUUAAUACCCCGCUGUUCUGACGGUACCCAAAGAAUAAGCACCGGCUAACUUCGUG
rnacentral:rRNA from 1 species